GUCCACGCCCUAAACGAUGUCUACUAGUUGUUGGGAGAGUAAAAUCUCUUAGUAACGCAGCUAACGCGUGAAGUAGACCGCCUGGGGAGUACGGUCGCAAGAUUAAAACUCAAAGGAAUUGACGGGGGCCCGCACAAGCGGUGGAUUAUGUGGAUUAAUUCGAUGCAACGCGAAAACCUUACCUGGCCUUGACAUGCCGAGAACAUUGCAGAGAUGCGAUGGUGCCCGAAAGGGAACUUGGACACAGGUGCUGCAUGGCUGUCGU
rnacentral:rRNA from 1 species